rnacentral:rRNA from 1 species
AACGAACGCUGGCGGCAUGCUUAACACAUGCAAGUCGAACGUGAGUAUUGAGGUAGCAAUACUUUAAUGCAAGCGUGGCAGACGGGUGAGUAAUACAUGGGAACGUACCUUUCAGUUCGGAAUAACCUUUGGAAACGAAAGAUAAUACCGGAUACGCUCGUAAGAGGAAAGGCUUGCUGCUGAAAGAGCGGCCCAUGUCAGAUUAGCUUGUUGGUAGGGCAAUGGCCUACCAAGGCUGUGAUCUGUAGCCGAUUUGAGAGGAUGAUCAGCCACACUGGGACUGAGAUACGGCCCAGACUCCUACGGGAGGCAGCAGUGGGGAAUAUUGGACAAUGGGGGAAACCCUGAUCCAGCAAUGCCGCGUGUAUGAAGAAGGCCUUCGGGUUGUAAAGUACUUUUAUCGGGGAAGAUAAUGACGGUACCCGAGGAAUAAGCUCCGGCAAACUUCGUGCCAGCAGCCGCGGUAACAC